rnacentral:misc_RNA from 1 species
AAGUCGUAACAAGGUUUCCGUAGGUGAACCUGCGGAAGGAUCAUUGUCGUAACCUGGAAACAGAACGACCCGAGAACGUUGAAACAUCACUCUCGGUGGGCCGGUUUCUUAGCUGAUUUCGUGCCUACCGAUUCCGUGGUUAUGCGUUCGUCACCGGCCCAGUUUCGGUUGGAUCAUACGCAUAGCUUCCGGAUAUCACCAAACCCCGGCACGAAAAGUGUCAAGGAACAUUCAACUAAACGGCCUGCUUUCGCCAACCCGGAGACGGUGUUUGUUCGGAAGCAGUGCUGCAAUGUAAAGUCUAAAACGACUCUCGGCAACGGAUAUCUCGGCUCUC